rnacentral:lncRNA from 1 species
AUAAAGUCUCUUCACCAUUGUUUCAACAUGAAGGUUUGUAAUAAAAAUUUGUUUCUAUCAGCAUUGCUUUGCAUUGCUAUUGCAGGAGUUUUGGGUCAAGCUCCUAGUAAUCCUCCUACGUCUACGCCGGCGCCACCCACACCACCGGCUUCUACUCCUCCUCCGACGACUCAACCACCGCCUACACCAACCGCCACUCCGCCACCAGUUUCUACUCCUCUUCCCACUUCAUCACCGCCCCCAGUGACAGCUUCUCCACCCCCAGUUUCAACUCCUCCACCCAGUUCUCCUCCUCCCGCAACUCCACCACCUGCUUCUCCACCUCCUGCAACUCCACCUCCAGCUUCUCCACCUCCUGCAACUCCACCUCCAGCUUCUCCACCUCCCGCCACUCCUCCACCAGCAACCCCCCCACCUGCAACUCCUCCUGCUACCCCACCACCAGCUCCAUUGGCUUCUCCUCCAGCCACAGUCCCAGCUAUCUCUCCAGUACAAACACCAUUGACCUCGCCACCAGCUCCGCCGACCGAGGCCCCAGCACCUACCCUCGGGGCUG